rnacentral:rRNA from 1 species
AACGAACGCUGGCGGCAUGCCUAACACAUGCAAGUCGAACGAGCCCUUCGGGGUUAGUGGCGCACGGGUGCGUAACGCGUGGGAAUCUGCCCUUGGGUUCGGAAUAACAGUGAGAAAUUACUGCUAAUACCGGAUGAUGUCUUCGGACCAAAGAUUUAUCACCCAAGGAUGAGCCCGCGUAGGAUUAGCUAGUUGGUGGGGUAAUGGCCUACCAAGGCGACGAUCCUUAGCUGGUCUGAGAGGAUGAUCAGCCACACUGGGACUGAGACACGGCCCAGACUCCUACGGGAGGCAGCAGUGGGGAAUAUUGGACAAUGGGCGAAAGCCUGAUCCAGCAAUGCCGCGUGAGUGAUGAAGGCCUUAGGGUUGUAAAGCUCUUUUACCCGGGAUGAUAAUGACAGUACCGGGAGAAUAAGCUCCGGCUAACUCCGUG